UACAAUUUCGUGGAGUUUAAUUUCACGCCAGGCCAACAAAUGUCCAUGGCACAGCUGUUUUUGACAAAUCCAGUAAUCAUAUUUCAUCCCCCGAUACUCUCGGGGGCGGCCAUCUACUGUGAGUAUUCAACGUUUCCGAACGACAGAGAUAUAUUUUUGCGCGGCAAAUUUCAGCGACGAUUUUUUUUUUCAGCACAAACGCGGGUUUAUGCUUCAAUCGCGAUUUCUUUUUUUUUUCCUUUCUUUUUCUGCGUUCCCUUCUCUUCCCCUAUAUGCGACAUACGAAUGAAACGAGGAUAGCGGACCUGCGUUAACCUCGUUAGUAUUCCCGAUAGUAAGAGGAAGUUCCGCGAGGAGAACGUCAUCCAAAACCCCAUCGUCCUUUGUUAAGAUUUAAGCAAGUAGCUAGCGACGGCGCGAUAAAUUUUGAUUACGUGGUCGAGACUUCCGAAAGGGUUGAGAGAGAGAGAGAGAGAGAGAGAGAGAGAGAGAGAGAGAGAGAAAGAGAGAGAGAGAGAGAGCGUGCGCAAGCUUCUCGCUCCCCUGGUAUCCACCAAAAUGGCCCGGAAUAAUUAGGAUCGAAGGAGGAAAAUAUCUAAGCCUGUCACGUAGCCCGACAAAGGAGUCGCUGCGACUUGAGCUAGGGUGGUCCUCGAAGAAGGGAAGUUUCACGAUUCCUGCCCCAAACGUAGAGGUUCAAAUCAUCUACGUUUCAUCGAAGUUCACAUAUAUGCACACGUGCAACAGAUACUACACUAACACGUUACAAGGGAAACAGGAACUUCCGCUUGUACGAUUCCCGGAACGAACGACAUAAAGGAUGAGCGUUACUUACGCUCGCUCAGUUCGAGCGCACCACAACAAGGCAUCUUCGUAUAUUAUUGCGGAUUGUGCACUAUCUCGCGGAUAAAUGGAGAUAUAGGAGAGGAAAA